rnacentral:lncRNA from 1 species
ACCCAAAAGGGACAAGGAUAAAAACAAACAGGUGCCAAAACUGCCAAUCUUAUGUACAAGCAAUGUGAGAAAACAGAGCAUUAGAGAUUAGAGAGGAUCAUAAGAGAGGUUGUUUUAAUCUUUGACCAAACUUUUGUAAAUUCUGGUAACUCUGAGCUCUUGCAAAGCAGGGACCAAUCUUUGAAAUGCAUAAGGGCCGGUGUAAAGUAGUGGUCGGCUUCUGUCUGGGUUAGCAGGGGAGAGCUAGAAUAUGGGUUUGUGUAGG